GCGGGGCCGAACUCGGACAUGGCGGAGGCGGCGACGGGAACGGGCCGCGCUCGCCUCAGGCCGCGCGGGGCACGCUGGGAGGCCCGCCCGCCACCGGAGGGGCUCCGCCAAUCGGCGCGCGGGUUGGCGUUGAGCGACAGGUGUGUUGGCCAAUCAAAUUAUGAAGGUGGGGAGCGGCGGCCAAUGGGAGGAAGGAAGGAGCCGGCGCGCUGCGAUUGAGGGGUGUUGGGCUUGUGGGGAUUUCCCCUCCCGCCCACGCUGCGCAACGAUUGGAGGACGCACUUGACUGACAGCCAGCGCAGCCAAUAGAGCGCGUGGAGAGGGAGAGGCGGGGCUUCGUUAGAUUGACAGGCACGCGGCUCAAUCAGCGGCGGGAAACUCGCUGGCCAAUCACAGCCGCGCCGGCCCCUGGCCUUUGAUUGGCAGCUCGCCCAGCCAAUGGCGCGCGACCCCGCGCGCGCGGCGUCCAAUCAGCAGCGCGCGGCCGUUUUGGAGGGAAAUCCCGACCAAUCAGCGAGCGUGAAGCAUUCCCUAGGCCCCGCCCCCAAUCCGCUCACUCAGGGGUUAAUAAAUAACCCUUUAUUGACGUCACGAGGGCGUGGCCACAUUGGCCCCGCCCCUUUCCGCGGCGGCCUCAAAUUUGGGCCGAAUCCGCGGGGUUUUGGUUAAAAAUAAAAAUUAAAAAAAUCCUAAAAAACGGAGCCGGGGACACCUGGAGAGGGGAGGGGGAGGGGAGAACAGGUGAGAACAGCAAGGACAGGUGGGCACAGGUGAGAAUAACAAGGACAGGUGUGCACAGCCUCGUCCAGCUGUGCCCAGGUGUCUCCAGGUGUGCCCCAGGCUUUUUGGUGUUCCCAGGCAUCCAUCCAGGUGUCCCCAGGUGCAUCCAGAUGUCCCUCAGGUAUCUCCAGGUGUACCCAGGUAUCUCCAGGUUCCAUCCCAGGUGUUUCCAGGUGCACCCAGGUGUCCCCAGGUAUCUCUAGGUGUCCCCCAGAUGUCCCCAAGUGUCCAUGCAGGUGUCCCCAGGUGCGCCCAAGUCCAUCCAGGUGUGUCCCAGGUGUGUCCCAGGUGUCCAUCCAGGUGUCCCCAGGUGUCCCCAGGUGCACCCAGGUGUCCCGGGGGGGUCUCUCCUCCCCCGGCCCCUCAGGCCUCGUCGUCCUCAGCCGUCAGCGGCCACUGCG